rnacentral:rRNA from 1 species
CCUACGGGAGGCAGCAGUGAGGAAUAUUGGUCAAUGGCCGGAAGGCUGAACCAGCCAAGCCGCGUGAAGGACGAAGGUGCCAAGCAUUGUAAACUUCUUUUGUCCAGGGACAAAAUCAGGCUCGAGAGCCUGACCGAGGGUACUUGAAGAAAAAGCAUCGGCUAACUCCGUGCCAGCAGCCGCGGUAAUACGGAGGAUGCGAGCGUUAUCCGGAUUUAUUGGGUUUAAAGGGUGCGUAGGCGGGCUAUUAAGUCAGCGGUAAAAUCCCGGGGCUCAACCCCGACGAGCCGUUGAGACUGGCCGUCUUGAGAUGUCGAGAGGCAUGCGGAAUUCGCAGUGUAGCGGUGAAAUGCUUAGAUAUUGCGCAGAACUCCGAUUGCGAAGGCAGCAUACCGGCGGCGAUCUGACGCUGAGGCACGAAAGCGCGGGUAUCGAACAGGAUUAGAUACCCUAGUAGUC